GACGAACGCUGGCGGCGUGCUUAACACAUGCAAGUCGAACGGAAAGGCCCUGCUUUUGUGGGGUGCUCGAUUGGCGAACGGGUGAGUAACACGUGAGUAACCUGCCCUUGACUUUGGGAUAACUUCAGGAAACUGGGGCUAAUACCGGAUAGGAGCUCCUGCUGCAUGGUGGGGGAUGGAAAGUUUCGGCGGUUGGGGAUGGACUCGCGGCUUAUCAGCUUGUUUGUGGGGUAGUGGCUGUCCAAGGGUUUGACGGGUAGCCGGCCUGAGAGGGUGACCGGCCCCAUUGGGACUGAGGUACGGACCAGACUCCUACGGGAGGCAGCAGUGGGGAAUAUUGCAGAAUGGGCGGAAGCCUGAUGCAGCAACGCCGCGUGCGGGAUGCCGGCCUUCGGGUUGUAAACCGCUUUCGCCUUUGACGAAGCGUGAGUGACGGUAAUGGGUAAAGAAGCACCGGCUAACUACGUG
rnacentral:rRNA from 1 species